AUGAAAUACGCAAUACUUACUAAACACUAAUAAGUGUAAACAGACCCUCGUUUUUAUUAUUUAAUAAUUUUAUAUUUUACAUUUUUACAAUUUUAAAUGUUUAAAUUGUAACAAUAGACUUACAAUUAUUAAUAUAGUAUUAGUUUUUGUAAAUAUUAAUGUCUUGUUUACCACGUCAUGUUGUACUUUUAUUUAAUAAUUCAACCAAACAUAACUUAUAAGUACCUAAAUUGUUAAGCGUCACAAUAUGUGAAUUGGAUACUUAGCGAGUGCGUGUUCGCGAAUACUGUAAUACAAUUUAUUGUUUAAUGAUUUCUACAUAAUAUACAAUUUUCGUUUAAUGUAUACCUAACUUAUGGAUCACUAAACCUACUGGAUAUUAUUUAUAUUUUGAUAAUGUAUUGGCUCAUAUCACAAUCAAGUGGUACUGUUUUUGCAUAACACUACACA